AUGGAUUGCAACCUUAAAAGUCUUUUCGGGAAUGUGCGCGGUCUAAAUUCUGGUGCUAAGCGUAUGGCCGUCCGCAGCGUGAUCUCCGCUACCACCCCUGCCAUCAUGUGUCUGCAAGAGAGCAAGUUUGCUCACAUCUCAGGCUCCAUCGUCCUUGACACCCUUGGCCCCCUUUUUGAGGAUUUCUACUUACUUCCGGCCACCGGCACCCGCGGAGGUGUGCUCCUCGUGUGGCAUAGAUCCCACGUCUCCCUCUCCAACCCCCUAAUUGGCGAGCAUCAUAUCACCGCCCUAGUCUCGCCCGCCGCCGGGGACAGUCAUUGGUGGCUCACUGGCGUGUACGGACCCCAAGAUGACGAGGCCAAACUCGACUUCCUCGCUGACCUCCAUGACGUGCGUGAUUCACGCACCGGGCCUUGGCUCCUUGGCGGAGACUUCUUGGCGGCCGACAAGAAUAACUCGAAUGUAAAUCACCAUGUCAUGAAUAGAUUUCGGCGAUUCAUCGCCAAUGACGAGCUCCGCGAUAUGUACUUGCACGGGGCACCGCUACACUUGGUCUAG
rnacentral:rRNA from 1 species